rnacentral:tRNA from 2 species
CAUUAAGAAGCUAUGCUACAGCGCUAGCCUUUUAAGCUAGAAAGAGAGGCACCCCUUCCUCCUUAAUGA